rnacentral:rRNA from 1 species
AGCUCCAAUAGCGUAUAUUAAGGUUGUUGCAGUUAAAAAGCUCGUAGUUGGAUUUCUGGUACGAUGCGCUUGGCCCGUAUGGUUCUGCCAUACGCGUGUCGACGUGCGUCUGCCAUCCUUCCAGUUAACGGCCGAUACUUCACUGUAUGGGUCGCGAUCUGGAUCUUUUACUUUGAAAAAAUUAGAGUGUUUAAAGCAAGCUUGCGCUAUGAAUACAUUAGCAUGGAACUAUAAUUUAGGACUUUAUUCCUAUUUUAUUGGUUUCUAGGAGUGACGUAAUGAUUGAUAGGGAUAGUUGGGGGUGCUAGUAUUCAUCGGCCAGAGGUGAAAUUCUUGGAUUCGAUGAAGACUAACUAAUGCGAAAGCAUUCACCAAGGAUGUCUUUU